UCAAACUAAAAAUUGUUGAAUUGUGUUGUAAGAGAUGUUGUACAACAAUGGUACCUCCUUCGAAACUUAAUGACAUUCUUGCGUGAUGUUUGAGUUUCAUAUUGUCUGCUUCGGCAAUAAAAAUCUAGUAAUUCGUCUUUAAGAGACCCGCUUGCAAGCACGGCAACCAGGUGCACUUUCGGCCUUCAAACAUUGUAAAAUUACGGGCGGUCAAACCUUCGUAGGCACCACCUGGAAGAAUGAAUUUUAAGGAUCCGUUCCGCAAUUCUGCCACGAGUUCAUCCCGUCCACCCGAUGUACAGCCACUUAACUGUACGCAAAACAAAAAACCAGCCUAUAAAGGCGUAUAGGUCGACAGGCAGAAGCGCAUGAUACGGAACUAUUAAAGCGCCACGAUCCAGUGGAAUGUUUUCGAC